UAAGGUAGCAUAAUCAUUUGUCUUUUAAAUGAAGACUAGAACAAAAGAUUUAACAUUUUAAUAAAUAUUUUUUAUUUAAUUUAUUCAAAUUAACUUAAAAGUAAAAAGACUUGUAUUUAAAAGAAAGACGACAAGACCCUAUUGAACUUAACUAAUGUUUAACUGGGGUAGUUAAUAAAUUAAAAUUUUUAAAUUAAUUAAAAAAAUAAUAGACCUAAUAAAAUUAAUUAAAUGAUCAAGUUACCAUAGGGAUAACAGCGUAAUAUAUCUUUUAAGAUCUUAUAUAAAUAUAAGCUUACGACCUC
rnacentral:rRNA from 1 species